GUGGGGAAUCUUCCGCAAUGGACGAAAGUCUGACGGAGCAACGCCGCGUGAGUGAAGAAGGUCUUCGGAUCGUAAAGCUCUGUUGUACGGGACGAAUGUUGAAGGCGUGAAUAAUGCCAUCAAAUGACGGUACUGUACGAGGAAGCCACGGCUAACUACGUGCCAGCAGCCGCGGUAAUACGUAGGUGGCGAGCGUCGUCCGGAAUUAUUGGGCGUAAAGGGAGCGCAGGUGGGAAGGUAAGUCUGUUUUAAAAGCGUCGGGCUCAACCCGAUGAGGGAACAGAAACUGGUAUUCUUGAGUGUCGGAGAGGAAAGUGGAAUUCCAAGUGUAGCGGUGAAAUGCGUAGAGAUUUGGAAGAACACCAGUGGCGAAGGCGACUUUCUGGACGAUGUCUGACGCUGAGGCGCGAAAGCUAGGGGAGCGAACGGGAUUAGAAACCCGAGUAGUCC
rnacentral:rRNA from 1 species